UGCACUUACGUUAGUAUUGUUGGUGCGGUCAAUGCUCGUCAAGUCGGUCUUUAUCUGUCGUGAUACACGAUGGAGGUUGGAUUCAAUGCUCGUCAAGUCGGUCUCUAUCUGUCAUGAUACACGAUGGAGGUUGGAUUCAAUGCUCGUCAAGUCGGUCUCUAUCUGUCAUGAUACACGAUGGAGGUUGGAUUCAAAAUUCUAAUGGGAAAA
rnacentral:lncRNA from 1 species